CCUGGUAGUGGGGGAUAACGUUCGGAAACGGACGCUAAUACCGCAUACGUCCUACGGGAGAAAGCAGGGGACCUUCGGGCCUUGCGCUAUCAGAUGAGCCUAGGUCGGAUUAGCUAGUUGGUGAGGUAAUGGCUCACCAAGGCUACGAUCCGUAACUGGUCUGAGAGGAUGAUCAGUCACACUGUUGUUGGGAAACGGUCCAGACUCCUGCGGGAGGCAGCAGUGGGGAAUAGGGGACAAUGGGCGAAAGCCUGA
rnacentral:rRNA from 1 species